rnacentral:snRNA from 1 species
GGAUAUGAGGUGCAAUCUGGCUGCAAUGUCUGUCACCCCACUGACUGCACGGGCUGAAUCAGCAGAUCUGCUGGCUGGGCAGGUGUCCCCUUCUUCCCUCAUGUGCUUGGUCAAAGGGGGUAACGGAGAAAAACCCCUCUUCUGUCAAGGGCCUGUGAGAGCUGCACUUCCCUGCUAGAACUGCCAGAACAUGCUCUCAAGAAAACAACCUCUUCCUUUUCCUCCUUCUCCUUCUUCGUUUUUAUUUAAGAGAGAGGCAGAGAGAAA